AUUGAACGCUGGCGGCAGGCCUAACACAUGCAAGUCGAACGGUAACAGGAAGAAGCUUGCUUCUUUGCUGACGAGUGGCGGCCGGGUGAGUAAUGUCUGGGAAACUGCCUGAUGGAGGGGGAUAACUACUGGAAACGGUAGCUAAUACCGCAUAACGUCGCAAGACCAAAGAGGGGGACCUUCGGGCCUCUUGCCAUCGGAUGUGCCCAGAUGGGAUUAGCUAGUAGGUGGGGUAACGGCUCACCUAGGCGACGAUCCCUAGCUGGUCUGAGAGGAUGACCAGCCACACUGGAACUGAGACACGGUCCAGACUCCUACGGGAGGCAGCAGUGGGGAAUAUUGCACAAUGGGCGCAAGCCUGAUGCAGCCAUGCCGCGUGUAUGAAGAAGGCCUUCGGGUUGUAAAGUACUUUCAGCGGGGAGGAAGGGAGUAAAGUUAAUACCUUUACUCAUUGACGUUACCCGCAGAAGAAGCACCGGCUAACUCCGU
rnacentral:rRNA from 1 species